GUGAAAGGGAGGCCAUAACCCCACCAGCCUGUCUGACCAAGGAGGGGGGGGCAUUACAUUGCUUACCUGUGACAUCACAAGGACAUCCAGCCACCCUUGGUCCUUGCUGCUAACAACCCGAUCCACCCUCCUGAAACUUGCUUACCCAUACAGUGUUUUGGGUGACAGUCACAUGAGCUGACAUAUGUGGAAGGUGCUUUGUAAGCUGGGAAGAGGCCUGUGCGUACAGGAAAGCAUGCUCCGUUGUGACAGAUUUCUCUUGUUGGUCAGAGAUGGGAUGGAAGAGAUGGCAGAAGAGGUGAGGCAUGAGGAGGACUCCCGCCACCAUUGCUGGCUUUGAAGAUGAAGGGGCCCACAAGCCAAAGAAUGUGGUGUGGCUUUUAGAAGCUGAGGACAACACUAGCCCAACAGCCAGCAAGGAAAUGGGGGCCUCAGUCCUGUAAAUGCGUGGACCUAAAUUCUGCCGACAGCCUGCAUGAGCCAGCGAUUACCUUCUCCCCCAGAGCCUUCAGGAAGGAAAGCCGUCCUGCCACCGUGGUUUUAGCCUGGUUUCAGUAAAUACUCUCCCACACGUUUGGAAGUGGAUUUUGUAAUGAGCCUGUGAGACGUGGAGGUGAGGAUGCAAAAGAAGAAGUUGAGCAUCAGUCAAGGCAAGUGCUAAUUGCUUGUUCCUUGGUCUCUCCUAUUACAGAGAACACUAUGACAGUUAUUUAAAAACAAAGGAAGAAAGAGAAAUUAUGAGGGUUUUUUUUUUUAACCAAAUAUGAAAGGGACAAAGGAUGUAGAGAAGUAAGGGGGGAGGAAACUUGUUCAAAUUCACCCGGUGAGUGCCCAGUAGUGGGGUGGGACUGCAUGUUGACUUUGGGCUCUUGUGAGCUGUGGCCUUGGGUAAGUAACUCCAACUUUGUAAGCCUCUGAUUCCUUAUCUGUAAAAUAGGAUUAAUAACAGGAGUCUCUUCAUGAGUUUAUGACCAGGGUUAAACGAGCUAAUGAGUGUGAAGUGCCUGGCCAAUGACCACUGUUCCAUUAAAGUAGCAGCCGCUGCUAGUAAAUUCUAAAGGCCAAAAGGCCAGUCACCUCAGCUCUGGGGCUCUUUUCCUUGGGCAUCAACCACUACAAGCCCAUACUGCCUUGGAAGGAGUGCGCCCCCUUCCGAACAUGUAUGUAUGUUACUCCUGGAUGGGGAAAGAAUGGCAACAUGUAAAUACAGUUGUUGAGAUAUACAGGUGACCCUUGAACAAUGUGGGGAUGAGGGGCACUGACCCCCUGCACAGUCGAAAAUAUAUAUAGCUUUUGACUUCCCCAAAAUUCAACUAGUAAUAGCCUACUGUUGACCGGAAGCCUUAAUGAUAACAUAAAUAGUCAAUUAGCACUUAUUUUGUAUGUUACAUGUAUUAUCUACUGAAUUUUACAGCAAAUUAAGCUAGAAAAAAAAUGUUGAGAAAAUCCAUCUGCAGUUGUAUACUGUAUUUAUCAAAAAACAAAAAUCCACAUGUAAGUGGACCCACACCGUUCAAACCCGUGUUGUUCAAGAGU